AGUGAACGCUGGCGGUAGGCCUAACACAUGCAAGUCGAACGGCAGCACAGUAAGAGCUUGCUCUUACGGGUGGCGAGUGGCGGACGGGUGAGGAAUAUAUCGGAAUCUACUUUUUCGUGGGGGUUAACGUAGGGAAACUUACGCUCAUACCGCAUACGACCUACGGGUGAAAGCAGGGGAUAUUCGGACCUUGCGCGAUUGAAUGAGCCGAUGUCGGAUUAGCUAGUUGGCGGGGUAAAGGCCCACCAAGGCGCCGAUCCGUAGCUGGUCUGAGAGACUGAUCGGCCGCACUGGAACUGAGACACGGUCCAGACUCCUACGGGAGGCAGCAGUGGGGAAUAGUGGACAAUGGGCGCAAGCCUGAUCCAGCCAUACCGCGUGGGUGAAGAAGGCCUUCGGGUUGUAAAGCCCUUUUGUUGGGAAAGAAAAGCAGCAGGUUAAUACCCCGCUGUUCUGACGGUACCCAAAGAAUAAGCACCGGCUAACUUCGUG
rnacentral:rRNA from 1 species